rnacentral:rRNA from 1 species
GUUCCGCGAUCCGGCGGACCACGGUCGUGGUCUGCUGGAGCGGGGCGAGAGAAGAGAGGGCAUCCGGUGGAUGCCUCGGCACCGAGAGGCGAGGAAGGACGUGGCACGCUGCGAAAAGCCCGGGGGAGGCGCGUGCGGCCCGUGAUCCCGGGAUCUCCGAAUGGGGCAACCCGCCCCCUGUCGGGGGCAUCACCGCACCGCAGGGUGCGGUGAGGCGAACCCGGCGAACUGAAACAUCUCAGUAGCCGGAGGAAAGGAAAGCAACCGCGACUCCGCGAGUAGCGGCGAGCGAAAGCGGACCAGGCCAGCGGCCGCGCCGCGGCAACCGGAAGCGUCUGGAAAGGCGCACCACAGAGGGUGACAGUCCCGUACGGGUCCAGUUGCGGCGCGGUCCACGAGUAGGGCGGGGCACGUGGAACCCUGUCCGAAGAGGGGGGGACCACCCUCCAAGCCUAAGUACUCCUCGGUGACCGAUAGCGCACGAGUACCGUGAGGGAAAGGUGAAAAGAACCCCGACGAGGGGAGUGAAACAGAGCCUGAAACCGGAUGCCCACGAGCAGUCGGAGCCCGGGUCCGCGCCUGCGGGCGCGGGUCGCGGGUGACGGCGUACCUUUUGCAUAAUGGGUCGGUGAGUCCGUCUCGGCGGCGAGCUUAAGCCGCAAGGCGCAGGCGCAGCGAAAGCGAGUCCGAACAGGGCGACCGGUCGCCGGGACGGGACCCGAAGCCGGGUGAGCUAGCCAUGGCCAGGCUGAAGGUGGGGUGACACCCACUGGAGGGCCGAACCGGUGGCUGUUGCAAAAGCCUCGGAUGAGCUGUGGCUAGGGGUGAAAGGCCAAACAAACCCGGAGAUAGCUGGUUCUCCGCGAAAACUAUCUGGGUAGUGCGUCGGGCGAUGCCCGCCGGGGGUAGAGCACUGGAUGGGCGAGGGGGGCGCGAGCCCUACCGAGUCCAACCAAACUCCGAAUACCGGCGCGUUAGCCCGGCAGACAGACCGCGGGUGCUAAGGUCCGUGGUCGAGAGGGAAACAGCCCGGACCGCCAGCUAAGGUCCCCAAGUCGUGGCUAAGUGGGAAAGGAUGUGGGGCCGCGAAGACAGCCAGGAGGUUGGCUUAGAAGCAGCCAUCCUUUGAAGAAAGCGUAACAGCUCACUGGUCGAGCGGUCCUGCGCCGAAAAUGUAACGGGGCUCAAGCCACGCACCGAAGCUGCGGGUCCGGAGGGUCUUCGGAUCCUCCGGGCGGUAGCGGAGCGUUCCCCAGGCCUGCGAAGCCGCGUCGCGAGGCGCGGUGGAGGUACGGGAAGCGAGAAUGCCGACACGAGUAGCGUCCAGCAGGGUGGAAACCCCUGCCGCCGGAAGCCCAAGGGUUCCUGCGCAAGGUCAAUCCGCGCAGGGUCAGCCGGUCCCUAAGGCGAGGCCGAAAGGCGUAGCCGAUGGCAAGCGGGUCAACAUUCCCGCGCCCGCGGGUGGUGACGGCGCCGACCCGUCGUCGGUCCUGAUCGGAUUGGACCGGCGGCGCAGGGCGCCCGGGAAAGAGCCCCCGCACCAUGGGCCGUACCCGAAACCGACACUGGUGGGCUGGUAGAGAAUACCGAGGUGCUCGAGAGAACGGCGCUGAAGGAACUCGGCAAAUUGCCCCCGUAACUUCGGGAGAAGGGGGCCCCGCCCGUGGGCAACCACGGGCGGGGGGCACAAGCCAGGGGGUGGCGACUGUUUACCAAAAACACAGGGCUCUGCGAACUCGCAAGAGGACGUAUAGGGCCUGACGCCUGCCCGGUGCCGGAAGGUCAAGGGGAGGGGUGCAAGCCCCGAACCGAAGCCCCGGUAAACGGCGGCCGUAACUAUAACGGUCCUAAGGUAGCGAAAUUCCUUGUCGGGUAAGUUCCGACCUGCACGAAUGGCGUAACGACUGCCCCACUGUCUCCAGCGCCGACUCGGCGAAACUGAACUCUCCGUGAAGAUGCGGAGUCCCCGCGGUCAGACGGAAAGACCCCGUGCACCUUGACUGCAGCUUCGCAGUGGUGCCGGGCGGUGCAUGUGUAGGAUAGGUGGGAGCCUGCGAAGCCGGGGCGCCAGCUCCGGUGGAGGCGCCGGUGAAAUACCACCCUUGCACCGUCCGGCAUCUAACCGCGGACCCCACAGGUCCCGGGACCCUGCGUGGCGGGCAGUUUGACUGGGGCGGUCGCCUCCCAAAGCGUAACGGAGGCGCGCGAAGGUGGGCUCAGGCCGGUCGGAAACCGGCCGUUGCGUGCAAGGGCAGAAGCCCGCCUGACUGCGAGGCCGACAGGCCGAGCAGAGACGAAAGUCGGCCCUAGUGAUCCGGUGGUCCCGCGUGGAAGGGCCAUCGCUCAGCGGAUAAAAGGUACGCCGGGGAUAACAGGCUGAUCACGCCCAAGAGUCCCCAUCGACGGCGUGGUUUGGCACCUCGAUGUCGGCUCAUCACAUCCUGGGGCUGAAGCCGGUCCCAAGGGUUCGGCUGUUCGCCGAUCAAAGUGGUACGUGAGCUGGGUUCAGAACGUCGUGAGACAGUUCGGUCCCUAUCUGCCGCGGGUGUUCGAGACCCGAGAGGAUCCGCCCCUAGUACGAGAGGACCGGGGUGGACGGACCUCCGGUGGACCGGUCGUCGCGCCAGCGGCGCAGCCGGGUAGCCAAGUCCGGACGGGAUAACCGCUGAAGGCAUCUAAGCGGGAAACCCACCUCGAAACCAGGUCUCGCUACGAGCGCCGUGGAAGACCACCACGUCGAUAGGCCGGAGGUGCAAGCGCGGCAACGCGUUCAGCCAACCGGUCCUAAUCGCGCCAACGAUCUCGCCCCGCUCCACCAGACCACGACACCUCCCGC